CCUACGGGAGGCAGCAGUAGGGAAUCUUCCACAAUGGGCGAAAGCCUGAUGGAGCAACGCCGCGUGAGUGAUGAAGGCCUUCGGGUUGUAAAACUCUGUCAUUCGGGACGAACCGGAGUCUGAGGAAAUGCAGACUCUCUGACGGUACCGGAGGAGGAAGCCCCGGCUAACUACGUGCCAGCAGCCGCGGUAAUACGUAGGGGGCAAGCGUUGUCCGGAUUCACUGGGCGUAAAGCGCGCGCAGGCGGUGAUGUAAGUCUGAGGUGAAAACCCGAAGCUCAACUUCGGGACUGCCUUGGAUACUGCGUCACUUGAGGAUAGGAGAGGCAAGGGGAAUUCCACGUGUAGCGGUGAAAUGCGUAGAGAUGUGGAGGAACACCUGUGGCGAAGGCGCCUUGCUGGCCUAUUUCUGACGCUGAGGCGCGAAAGCGUGGGGAGCAAACAGGAUUAGAUACCCUGGUAGUCCACGCUGUAAACGAUGAGUGCUAGGUGUAGGUGGGCUCAUACCCAUCUGUGCCGAAGCUAACGCAUUAAGCNCNCCGCCGUCGGGAGGUACGGUCGCGACGACGUACGUAAACGUUAAAGGUAAAGUUAGUACGGACGUUGAGACGUUCGCCGACGGACGACGACGACGGGAGGUAGGG
rnacentral:rRNA from 1 species